rnacentral:rRNA from 1 species
UACGUAGGGUGCAAGCGUUGUCCGGAAUUAUUGGGCGUAAAGAGCUCGUAGGCGGUUCGUCGCGUCGGCUGUGAAAUCCCGAGGCUCAACCUCGGGUCUGCAGUCGAUACGGGCGGACUGGAGUUCGGCAGGGGAGACUGGAAUUCCUGGUGUAGCGGUGAAAUGCGCAGAUAUCAGGAGGAACACCGGUGGCGAAGGCGGGUCUCUGGGCCGAAACUGACGCUGAGGAGCGAAAGCGUGGGGAGCAAACAGG